GACGAACGCUGGCGGCGCGCCUAACACAUGCAAGUCGAACGGAGCUUUGAGAGCUUGCUUUUAAAGCUUAGUGGCGAACGGGUGAGUAACGCGUGAGUAACCUGCCCUGGAGUGGGGGACAACAGUUGGAAACGACUGCUAAUACCGCAUAAGCCCACGGCCCGGCAUCGGGUUGAGGGAAAAGGAUUUAUUCGCUUCAGGAUGGACUCGCGUCCAAUUAGCUAGUUGGUGGGGUAACGGCCCACCAAGGCGACGAUCGGUAGCUGGUCUGAGAGGACGACCAGCCACACUGGGACUGAGACACGGCCCAA
rnacentral:rRNA from 1 species